rnacentral:rRNA from 1 species
GGAGUUAGCCGGUGCUUCUUCUGCGAGUAACGUCACAGAUGUAAGGUAUUAACUUACACCCUUUCCUCCUCGCUGAAAGUGCUUUACAACCCGAAGGCCUUCUUCACACACGCGGCAUGGCUGCAUCAGGGUUUCCCCCAUUGUGCAAUAUUCCCCACUGCUGCCUCCCGUAGGAGUCUGGGCCGUGUCUCAGUCCCAGUGUGGCUGAUCAUCCUCUCAGACCAGCUAGGGAUCGUCGCCUAGGUGAGCCUUUACCUCACCUACUAGCUAAUCCCACCUGGGCUUAUCCAUCAGCGCAAGGCCCGAAGGUCCCCUGCUUUCCCCCGUAGGGCGUAUGCGGUAUUAGCAGUCGUUUCCAACUGUUAUCCACCACAAAUGGGCAAAUUCCCAGGCAUUACUCACCCGUCCGCCGCUCGUCAUCUUCAAAGCAAGCUUUUAGAAAUGUUACCGCUCGACUUGCAUGUGUUAGGCCUGCCGCCAGCGUUCAAUCUGAGCCAUAAUCAAACUCUGA